AUUGAACGCUGGCGGCAGGCCUAACACAUGCAAGUCGAACGAGCGGCGGACGGGUGAGUAAUGUCUGGGAAACUGCCCGAUGGAGGGGGAUAACUACUGGAAACGGUAGCUAAUACCGCAUACCAUCGGAUGUGCCCAGAUGGGAUUAGCUAGUAGGUGGGGUAAAGGCUCACCUAGGCGACGAUCCCUAGCUGGUCUGAGAGGAUGACCAGCCACACCGGGACUGAGACACGGUCCAGACUCCGACGGGAGGCAGCAGUGGGGAAUAUUGCACAAUGGGCGGAAGCCUGAUGGAGCCAUGCCGCGGGUGUGAAGAAGGCCUUCGGGGUUGAAAGCACUUUCAGCGGGGAGGCGUUACUCGCAGAAGAAGCACCGGCUAACUCCGUGCCAGCAGCCGCGGUAAUAC
rnacentral:rRNA from 1 species